rnacentral:rRNA from 3 species
UUGACCUCGGAUCAGGUAGGGAUACCCGCUGAACUUAAGCAUAUCAAUAAGCGGAGGAAAAGAAACCAACAGGGAUU